CCUACGGGUGGCAGCAGUGAGGAAUAUUGGUCAAUGGGCGCGAGCCUGAACCAGCCAAGUCGCGUGAGGGAAGACGGUCCUAUGGAUUGUAAACCUCUUUUGUCGGGGAGCAAAAGACGCCACGCGUGGCGUUCCGAGAGUACCCGAAGAAAAAGCAUCGGCUAACUCCGUGCCAGCAGCCGCGGUAAUACGUAGGGGGCAAGCGUUAUCCGGAAUUACUGGGUGUAAAGGGAGCGUAGACGGCAAUGCAAGUCCGGAGUGGAAUGCGGCGGCUCAACUGCUGAACUGCUCUGGAUACUGUAUGGCUUGAGUGCAGGAGGGGUAAGCGGAAUUUGUGGUGUAGCGGUGAAAUGCGUAGAUAUCAGGAAGAACACCGAUUGCGAAGGCGGCUUACUGGACUGUAACUGACGUUGAGGCUCGAAAGCGUGGGGAGCAAACAGGAUUAGAUACCCUUGUAGUC
rnacentral:rRNA from 1 species